rnacentral:tRNA from 1 species
GCCGGGGUCGGGUAGUCCGGCUAGCUCGCCGGCCUCGAGAGCCGGUGGCCUUCUCGGGCCGCGUGGGUUCAAAUCCCACCCCCGGCG